AAGAACCUUACCAGGUCUUGACAUCCUUUGACCACUCUAGAGAUAGAGCUUUCCCCUUCGGGGGACAAAGUGACAGGUGGUGCAUGGUUGUCGUCAGCUCGUGUCGUGAGAUGUUGGGUUAAGUCCCGCAACGAGCGCAACCCUUGACCUUAGUUGCCAGCAUUCAGUUGGGCACUCUAAGGUGACUGCCGGUGACAAACCGGAGGAAGGUGGGGAUGACGUCAAAUCAUCAUGCCCCUUAUGACCUGGGCUACACACGUGCUACAAUGGAUGAUACAAAGGGUUGCGAAGCCGCGAGGCCAAGCCAAUCCCAAAAAGUCAUUCUCAGUUCGGAUUGUAGGCUGCAACUCGCCUACAUGAAGCCGGAAUUGCUAGUAAUCGCGGAUCAGCAUGCCGCGGUGAAUACGUUCCCGGGCCCUUGUUACCACCACA
rnacentral:rRNA from 1 species